rnacentral:rRNA from 1 species
UGGCGGCAUGCUUACACAUGCAAGUCGAACGGUAACAGCAGAGCUUGCUCUGGCUGACGAGUGGCGGACGGGUGCGUAACGCGUGGGAAUCUACCUUGUAGUGGGGGAUAGCCCGGAGAAAUCCGGAUUAAUACCGCAUAAUCUCUACGGAGCAAAGUGGGGGAUCUUCGGACCUCACGCUAUUAGAUGAGCCCGCGUUGGAUUAGCUUGUUGGUGGGGUAAAGGCCUACCAAGGCGACGAUCCAUAGCUGGUUUGAGAGGAUGAUCAGCCACACUGGGACUGAGACACGGCCCAGACUCCUACGGGAGGCAGCAGUGGGGAAUAUUGGACAAUGGGCGCAAGCCUGAUCCAGCAAUGCCGCGUGUGUGAAGAANGCCUGAGGGUUGUAAAGCACUUUCAAUAGAGA